CCAAAAACUCAGAGUUAAGCACCACCCCACCUCACACACUAGCCAUGGCCGUACAUCGUUGUGUUUUGAUUCCAUCCAGCUCUCAGCCACCCCGUUCCUCGUGGCCGGCCAGCAACCUCCUCAGCUCUUCUUUUCCCAUCUGGUGUGAUGCUGGGACAAUGGGUGCCCACAAAUGUUGUGACCGUAGUCAACGUUUGCUGGAACUAGCCUGUAGAUUUGCUACCAUCGGCGGUCAUCAAUUUUUUCGCUCGACCCCAACAUCGGCGUUUAGCUACGA
rnacentral:rRNA from 1 species